rnacentral:rRNA from 1 species
AUGCAAGGGGCACUGGAAGCUAAGGUGACCGAUGGCGUGGCAGAGCCAUCAAACAGCCGGAUCCCGGCAAUCCCGCCUGCGGUGACAGUACGAGAGGCACCGGAAACAACAGCGAUGCAGGUCCCUGGGCUUUCCGUAUCUAAAAAGCAGAUUAGGCGCCGCUCUCGAGGCAGGAGCAGCAGUACCCGUGGCAGGAUUAGAAAGCAAAGCGUCUAUAGGGAGUGGAGCUGCUCAAGGUCAGAGGAGGUUGCAGGGUGCCAUUUUGGUCAGCCGAAACGUUGCCAUGCGGACCGACAAGAUCAAGAGGUCGAUCUUCCACGGAUAGGCUACAAGGCAGUUGCGCCAGCAGAGUUAAUGAGCUGUCACAGGCAAUCAAUUGAUUGCGCUCGGGCGUGCUGCUGCAAGCAGCAGAGCGCUUAG